ensembl:snRNA U2 U2 spliceosomal RNA
AUCGCUUCUUGGCCUUUUGGCUAAGAUCAAGUGUAGUAACAUAAAGUCACAACUUAAGCUGAGAAAUACCAUCUUCUGAAUUCAUGUUCAGAUUAAGUUUUACAUUAAUCCUACUUUGAGAGUGAAAAAAUAUUUUUAUUUAAAAAUUAGGUCUAGGGGUACCUGGCUAGCUCAGUCAGUAAAGCAUGCAGCUCUUGAUCUCAG